CCUACGGGUGGCAGCAGUGAGGAAUAUUGGUCAAUGGACGAGAGUCUGAACCAGCCAAGUAGCGUGAAGGAUGACUGCCCUAUGGGUUGUAAACUUCUUUUAUAAAGGAAUAAAACGAGGCACGUGUGCCUUUUUGCAUGUACUUUAUGAAUAAGGAUCGGCUAACUCCGUGCCAGCAGCCGCGGUAAUACGGAGGAUCCGAGCGUUAUCCGGAUUUAUUGGGUUUAAAGGGAGCGUAGAUGGGUUGUUAAGUCAGUUGUGAAAGUUUGCGGCUCAACCGUAAAAUUGCAAUUGAUACUGGCAGUCGUGAGUACAGUUGAGGUAGGCGGAAUUCGUGGUGUAGCGGUGAAAUGCGUAGAUAUCACGAAGAACCCCGAUUGCGAAGGCAGCUUACUAAACUGUGACUGACAUUGAUGCUCGAAAGUGUGGGUAUCAAACAGGAUUAGAUACCCUGGUAGUC
rnacentral:rRNA from 1 species